CAGUAGCCGCGGGAAUACGAAGGGUGCAAGCGUUACUCGGAAUUACUGGGCGUAAAGCGUGCGUAGGUGGUGGUUUAAGUCCGUUGUGAAAGCCCUGGGCUCAACCUGGGAAUCGCAGUGGAUACUGGGUCACUAGAGUGUGGUAGAGGAUAGUGGAAUUUCCGGUGUAGCAGUGAAAUGCGUAGAGAUCGGAAGGAACAUCUGUGGCGAAGGCGACUAUCUGGGCCAACACUGACACUGAGGCACGAAAGCGUGGGGAGCAAACAGGAUUAGAGACCCCGGUAGUCCCUGUCUCUUAUAC
rnacentral:rRNA from 1 species